AUACUCUGAGAUGUGGAGCAUGACCAAUAAUUUCGAAAGAGUUCUUGGAAAAGGAGGGUUUGGAAUUGUUUACCUGGCUACUUGGUUGAUGGAACACAAGUUGCUGUCAAAAUGCUAUGUCCAUCAUCAACUCAAGCAUCUAUACAAUUUCGAACUGAGGCUCAGUUCUUGAUUAGGUUCAUCACAGGAACUUAGCUUCUUUUGUCGGAUACUGCAAUGAUAGCAGAAACUUUGCAAUCAUCUAUGAGUACAUGGCAUAUGGAAACUUAGAGGAGUAUCUAUUAGAUAAACGUAAAGAAGCUCUGAGUUGGAAAGAGAGAGUUGAGAUUGCACUUGGUGCCGCACAAGGGCUAGAGUACUUGCACCAUGGUUGCAAGCCACCAAUAAUUCACAGAGAUGUGAAGCCUGCAAACAUUUUGUA